rnacentral:rRNA from 1 species
CCUACGGGAGGCAGCAGUGGGGAAUAUUGGACAAUGGGGGAAACCCUGACCCAGCGACGCCGCGUGAGUGAAGAAGUAUUUCGGUAUGUAAAGCUCUUUCAGCAGGAAAGAAAAUGACGGUACCUGACUAAGAAGCCCCGGCGAACUACGUGCCAGCAGCCGCGGUAAUACGUAGGGGGCAAGCGUUAUCCGGAUUUACUGGGGGUAAGGGGAGCGUAGACGGCAGUGCAAGUCUGGAGUGAAAUGCCGGGGCUCAACCCCGGAACUGCUUUGGAAACUGUUAGGCUGGAGUGCAGGAGAGGUAAGCGGAAUUCCUGGUGUAGCGGUGAAAUGCGUAGAUAUCAGGAGGAACACCGGCGGCGAAGGCGGCUUACUGGACUGUAACUGACGUUGAGGCUCGAAGGCGUGGGGAGCAAACAGGAUUAGAUACCCUUGUAGUC